AUGGAUACUGAAAACAAAUUGUUGACAGUUGAUGCUGAUUUCCAAGAUUGAGAUGACUUGCAAAAUAGAAGUUAAAUCAUAAGCUUACCUGGUAAGUGGUAACUACUAUCUCAUACUAUUCGCGAUUGUCAACAGUAAAGGGAAUAGCAUGACUAAAUACAUUUGUAUCAUAAAUAAUAUUUCGUCAGUUGACAUUUUUGAACCAAAAGACAUAGCAUAACUGAGUACUCAGCUCCUUACAUUUAACAACAAACGUCGUUCCGUCUGUUUUCCUUUGCGCCUUAUAUAUUCUGCCAUAACCACUUGUUUAUUCAUUAGUGAACCAUAACACUAACGUUAAAUUUGUCAUAUAAGUGCCAAAUAAAUGAAGCAUUUUCACAAACAUCUAGCGUGCGUACACUUUCUGAGUACCAAAAUCCCAAAAAUUCAUUCUAAAAUGCUGAAUAACAAUUAGAGCAAGUCCAAAAGCAUUGCUUUGUUUCUUUACAUGAAAAUAAAAGCAAAAACAAAUAAAAAAAUACCGACAAACCAAUACACAAUAGAUCUGAAAUCGAUUUGGUAAACAAAAGCCCUUAAAACAAUCAUUGGAUCAAGAAUCGAGACAUACCAUCC
rnacentral:lncRNA from 1 species